UACAGAGGUGGCAAGCGUUGUUCGGAAUUACUGGGCGUAAAGGGCGCGUAGGCGGCCUACUAAGUCAGACGUGAAAUCCCCCGGCUUAACCUGGGAACUGCGUCUGAUACUGGAAGGCUUGAGGAUGGGAGAGGGAUGUAGAAUUCCAGGUGUAGCGGUGAAAUGCGUAGAUAUCGGGAGGAACACCGGUGGCGAAGGCGGCCCCCUGGUUGGAUACUGACGCUGAGACGCGAAAGCGUGGGGAGCAAACAGG
rnacentral:rRNA from 1 species